rnacentral:rRNA from 1 species
UACGGGAGGCAGCAGUGAGGAAUAUUGGUCAAUGGGCGCGAGCCUGAACCAGCCAAGUCGCGUGAGGGAUGACGGUCCUACGGAUUGUAAACCUCUUUUGCCGGGGAGCAAGCGUGCGUUCGUGAACGCGCGUCGAGAGUACCCGGAGAAAAAGCAUCGGCUAACUCCGUGCCAGCAGCCGCGGUAAUACGGAGGAUGCGAGCGUUAUCCGGAUUUAUUGGGUUUAAAGGGUGCGUAGGCGGGAUGCCAAGUCAGCGGUAAAAAUGCGGUGCUCAACGCCGUCGAGCCGUUGAAACUGGCGUUCUUGAGUGGGCGAGAAGUAUGCGGAAUGCGUGGUGUAGCGGUGAAAUGCAUAGAUAUCACGCAGAACUCCGAUUGCGAAGGCAGCAUACCGGCGCCCUACUGACGCUGAGGCACGAAAGCGUGGGUAUCGAACAGGAUUAGAUACCCUGGUAGUCCACGCAGUAAACGAUGAAUGCUAACUGUCCGGCUCGAAUGAGCGCUGG